UGUUGCAACUGGUUGCUUACAGGUAUGAGGGAGGGAGCGGGAGGUGGAGACAGCUUCCUUGCUGCUUCUCUCUGGCUCACAGGACCUCCUCUGGCACAAAGGCAGGCUACAUGGCUUCCCUCUGCUUCUCCCCAGCUGGAAUAACAUCAUCUUCAUCCAAGAGAAAGUAGCUGCACUCUUCUGCCUCAAAUUCCCCUAAGAUGAACAUCCACACGAGUGUGAAAUCAUCAGAAUUGGUGACCAAAGGAGGAAGAGAUUGGAAGACAGUGAGCCAGGAGCCAAAGUCUUCUGGACAGAGGACAUGGGAUCAGUGUAGUUUGAGACUCAAGGAAGCCCACUACUCCUAACUGCACAAUGUUUGGCAGGAUAUAGAAAGGAGUAAAAUAUAAUAAAAGCUUACCUUUCCUUAGUUUUGUACUUUUGUCAUAUUUGUUGUGCUUAUGGACUUUAUGCAAUGGGUAUAAUAUUAUUUGAAUGCGUCUACAAUCUUUGUAAAUUUUUAAUUUUUCUGUUAAUGUAAAUCACUUUAAAUGUGAAACAGCUAUUAAGACUACUACUUCCUAUACAAAUGUUCCUUGGAUUAUGUUGGAAUUACAUACAAUAAACCCAUUGUAAGUUGAAAAUAUUGUAAAUCAAAAUAUGCAGAAUACACCUAACCUACUGCAUAUCCUAGUUUAGCAACA